AUGAACUACUACCCCGUGGCCAGGUACCACUUCGACCUCAGUGGCACGGCGUUCGGGGCCAUGGCCAAGAACGGCCUCAACGACAAGCUCCGCCACGCCGGCAUCAUCGACGUGCAGUUCAGGAGGGUGCGCUGCAACUUCCCGGGCAUGAAGGUCACCUUCCACGUCCAGCGUGGCUCCAACCCUAACUACCUCGCGGUGCUCGUGGAGUACGCCGACGUGGAUGGGACCGUGGUGCGGAUGGAGCUGAUGCAGACCAGGAACGGCCGCCCCACGGGGUUCUGGGAGCCGAUGCGGCGCUCCUGGGGAUCCAUCUGGCGGAUGGACACCAGCCGCCCGCUGCAGGGGGCCUUCUCCAUGCGCAUCACCAGCGACUCCGGCAAGACGCUGGUGGCCAACAAUGUCAUCCCGGCCUACUGGCGGCCGGACAAAGCCUACGGGUCCAACGUCCAGUUCUAUUGA
rnacentral:rRNA from 1 species